AUUGCAAUAACAGGUCUGUGAUGCCCUUAGUUAUCCUAGGUCGCACGCGCCAUACAAUGUGGCGCACAACGAGUUUCCUAGGCCGAUAGGAUUAGACACUGGGCAAUCUGAGAGAGCGCUACGUGACUGGGCUAGACUUUUGUAAUUGUUGGUCUUGAACGAGGAAUGCCUAGUAAUCGUAGGUCAUUAUCCUGCGAUGAUUAUGUCCCUGCCCUUUGUACACACCGCCCGUCGCUCCUGCCGUGGCUCGUGCCGGUGAAGAGGGGGAGGCAGCGUCAACGGAGUAACAUCUGAUUGUACGUGGAACCCCUCUGAACCUUCGCGAGUAGAGGAAGGAGAAGUCGUAACAAGGUUUUCGUAGGUGAACCUGCGGAAGGAUCAUUA
rnacentral:rRNA from 1 species